GCAUUGGUAGUUCAGUGGUAGAAUUCCGACCUUCCAUGCAAGAGACCCAGGCUCCAUUCCUGGCCAAUGCA
rnacentral:tRNA from 1 species